CCUACGGGCGGCAGCAGUGAGGAAUAUUGGUCAAUGGUCGAGAGUCUGAACCAGCCAAGUAGCGUGAAGGAUGACUGCCCUAUGGGUUGUAAACUUCUUUUAUCUGGGAAUAAAAUGUUCCACGUGUGGGAUUUUGUAUGUACCAUAUGAAUAAGGAUCGGCUAACUCCGUGCCAGCAGCCGCGGUAAUACGGAGGAUCCGAGCGUUAUCCGGAUUUAUUGGGUUUAAAGGGAGCGUAGGUGGGUUGUUAAGUCAGUUGUGAAAGUUUGCGGCUCAACCGUAAAAUUGCAGUUGAAACUGGCAGUCUUGAGUACAGGAGAGGUAGGCGGAAUGCGUGGUGUAGCGGUGAAAUGCUUAGAUAUCGCGAAGAACUCCGAUUGCGAAGGCAGUUCACUGGACUGAAACUGACGCUGAGGCUCGAAAGUGUGGGUAUCAAACAGGAUUAGAUACCCUUGUAGUC
rnacentral:rRNA from 1 species